ACAACGUUCCAUUGAGGCGAGCGCGUGCUCCGGCGAGCACAUGGGCAGAGCGGCCCGCACCGCACUGCUCCGCGCCGCUCCGCUCGGCCCCGCCGCCGCCGGACCCCAGCCCGGAGAAUGGGGGGGGACGCGUCUUGGCAGUGGGAGCAACUAUUCUCAAGAGCUGGUGCUCUGCUUUGGUGAGUCACUGGAACCACAUGCACUCUGUUUACUAGAGUGCAGAAUGUGCUCGUGCCUUGCUACUUCCCGGCAUGAGUGACUUUGCCUUUAUGAAGCUCUAUGCAUACGAGAUGACGGUGGGAACUCGUCUCUGUAAGGCCAACACCUGAGCUACUGACGAAGGGAGUCUGCAGUGCAGUUGAGGUCUCAGCCCUGUGCCUUCAACCACUCUGGAGUAAUGCUGGGAGGAGCUCUCAGAUUGAUCCUUUCCAUAGCUUCCAAGGAUUUUUAGGAUUAUGGGAUUUAUGGACCUGCAAAAUCCUCUGGAGAACGUCAGCCAUCCACAAAACCAUCUGGAAAUUCUCCCUAUCUUUCCUGGGUCACUGAGUGUUGGGAAGGAGGCAUCUCUGCUCUGAGGAUUACAGCAAAUCAGUCGCUUGCCAUCCUUACUGGAAUACCUCCCCUUUCAGUUGCUCGGAACAGAGCAAUUAUUGCAGAAGGCAGAAGAAUAUUUUUUCCCUUUCUCUGAGCUUUUGCAGUGCAGCAGUGGCCAUGUCUGGAUCUGAAAGUCCUCAGGGUACCCUGUGCUGUGUGGUGCAGAGUUGUGGACAGCACUCAGCCCUUCCCUGUCCCAGGAAUGCUGGCCUGUUGCCUUCACUGAGCACCACUGGAUCCAUCUGCGUGCUCUCCGUCACUUUCUGUGGAGGAGAUCCUCCUUAUUGAAUGGGAAGGAUGCUGCUGCGUCACUUGCAUUCUUCACCCCUCCUGCCUUGUUGGGAAGGAGCAACCCUCCGAAGCCGGCGCGUCAAAAUUGUCCAUUUCAUUCCUCAACUUCCUGAAGCUGUCAGUGUGGGGUGAGCUGCAGGAGCUCUGAAUCCUUGGUGAGAGCGGGGUAAAACAGCAGAAGUGGCCUGAGCAGGAAUAACCCAACUUCAGAAGGGGAGGAAGUGAAUGUCUGACUACAACCUGCAUGCCUGUACUUAAGUAUGGCAGCGAUAGCCUGAGCAUGGUGAUCUUGAGCAUCAGUGUUGUUGCAGUGAUGGAAACAGCUGAUUCUAGAUAAAAAGAGGAAGAUUUGGUAGAAUAUAUCAUGAUAUUUUUUAGAUGCUUCAAAUUUUGUCUUUUUUCCACCAUGAUGUAAGUGCAGAGGUUGCUCCACUUUGAAUGGGUAUUUUACAUGAGCCUGCCUCUCAAAUUAAGUAGGAUCAUGUUUCUUCAGCAUUUAGUGUGAAUCUUGAUGCCUGGUGGUGUAUUUCAACCUUCCAAAGAGACAUGCAAGAAUAAAGCACGAUGAUUCACUGCAUACUAAAAUGCUCUACAUGUAAAAUAAUAAUGAUAAAUAAAUAGAAAAGUUGCUGUUUCAGCUUUGCAAUAAAACUAUAAAACUCACCAGCCAGUAAACAGUGGAUCUCCUGUUCCCAUGGAGAAGAGCUGCUGCAGACCUAAAAGCUUGCUGUGGGAAAGAAAAGAAAUAUAAAUCAAAAAGAUCCACUCAUGGUCUUGCAAACAAAGGUUGCCUUGGAUUGUGGUCACAUGUUGCCGUUCAGCUGAUCGAGUUCAUGCCAAAAGGGGAAAGAUUUCUAGUACUUGCUUGAACCCCACUGAACUGGUUUAGGGAAUUAAUUAGAGGAAAACUCUUCACCUUUGUUUUUUCCCUCGCUGGUUUUCUCCUAGACCCGAUGGCCCUGCGUGAACUCACCAGCCCAGCCACCCCUUCCAUGACUUGUGGCCACUGAGUGAACUUGACUGUGAUUUAAAUUGCACCCUCAGCAAAGGGGCUUUGGCUUCUCCCUGCUGAGGGAGAAGGAGCCUGCCAAAUACCCAAAUCUGAGCUUUGUAAAUCAUACCCAGCAAUUCUCGGUGGCCAACUUGCUUCAAGGAUAUAAGGAGGAGGAACACCUGCGAGACCUUCUGGGGGUGAAUUGCAACCCCUGUAUAUAUAAAAGGUGUUGAUAAGCUGGUGUUGCUGGCAACCCUCCUGGCCUGACCUAAUGCUCUGUGUGCAUAUGUUCUGUAAAUAAAGAUCAGGGCAGGCUUCUUCCCUUGAACACAUCCUCUGUCCACGCCUAUGGAGGUAUUCAGGAAACCUUCCUAAGGCUGGGCAUUGGAGGUUGCAUGAAAAUUUCCAAAAUCUUUGGCUUCACACAUUUGGUGUUAAGGUACAUACAUGUGUUGCAUGCAUCACGCGUAGUUUUGAGGACAAACUCAGUGCAGCAGGCUUAGCUCUCAUCCCAGGCAGUUUUCUCAGGGCUCUGGACUUGCAUCUAAUUUUUACAAAGCUCAUCAGAUGGCUGGUACCAGAGUGCUUUUCUUUGAGGGAUACUGUAUCAGCACAGUUGGGUAUUGGAUUGCUUUCCAGAAUUUUCUUGCCUUCCAUGCCUCGGGGCUUUUUUUGGCGAAGGUUCCAUCACACACUGAUCCUGCUGUCUUCUGUAGCAGAUGAGCCCUGGGUUCCUGGCUUGCACUUUCACCUAAGGGUGAAAGUGGUAGGAUGAAGUCGUAUAUCCAGACCUGUUAGUCUGGAGUACAAUGGUGGUGGUUAUAUGCCUCUUUUUUUUUUUUUUUUUUUUAACCUUGCAUUAGGGUGUGCUGAAGGAAGCAGGGAUGAAAACACUGUAGGUUGAAAUUACCCAGUAAAGAGCCUGAAUCAGCUGCAGAGGAUACUGAAAAUCUUGGUUACAGACCCUUUUUUUAUUUUUUCAAUAUUAUUAUAUCAUGCAGUGAAAAAGCAUAUCUGUUUCUUGGGUGAGGUCUUCCCGAGUUGACUGUGCUUCCCUGUGGCACGGCACACUUUCUUUGUAGCAUCCCGCAUGGGAGAUGAAAGGGUUUGAUGUAUACUGCCUUCAGGGCAGUGUGGAUUUCUCCUCAAAAACGCAGAUUCUAGUUUUAAAUGCCUAAAAAAUGAGACCUGUGCCUUAUCUCUUGGGAGAUCGUUGAUGGAUCCAUUCCUCAAAAAGAUAUUUUAUUCAUUCAAACUAUUCAGUUCUUUAAUUCAGUGCCACUCCCUUCAUUCGGAUGCCUGGAGUCUUUUAUCAUGUCUCCUCUUACUCAUUGCUUAGCCAAGUUAGACAUACUUAGUUCUUUUAAUCUUUCCUAGUAACUGAGUGUCUUUAAUCAUCGUGCUUGAUGUCAGAGUGUUUGAUGCCCACUUUUUCUGAAAGUAAGCCUGGAUUUUGUGUGUGUGCAAAUCACUUGGGAAGUGAUCCAGGAGAGCAGGAGUAGCUGAGCAGCUGCAGCUGGUUGCACAGGCUCACUCCUGGAUUCCUCAAAAGCUCCCUCAAAUAUCCCAGUGUGGGUGCUGAGGAAGAUUCUUGGCUCACCUCAUAUGCCAGCAGACUUGGCACGCUUGGGGAUUAAUUAAUGUUUUUGUUGGAUGUGGGCAGCAGCUCCCCUGAAGACGUCUCAUGGCUUGGCUUUCCAGAGGCACAUUUCUCUGGACUUCCAUGGAACUAAUUGAAGAUGCAGGUGUAGAUUAUGUUUGCAGAAAACAGGCCCAGAAAGGUUACUGAAACUUACAUUUCCUUCUCUUACCCUCAGCAACAAGAGCAAGAUAGAGGCUUAAUUUCUUUCUACAAAAUCAAUAGCAAAGCUAAGGGAUGGGUUGUUUUUUGGGAGCAGUGAUUUUGCUACAUGCUGUUAGUGCAGCUCAUCUACUCUUGCUGCAGGUAUUACUGUUGAUUUUCCAGAUGAGUUCAUAUAUUUGCACCUGAAAAUAAUCAUUCACAAAUUCUUAAAUCAGUGUGAAUGUAGGGAUUAUUGCUAUCUGUUACUGAGCUAUGCAGUGUAUCAUCUCAGCAUGGUGUCGUCAGACUUGGCUUUGUGGAGGUAAGCAUCUGCUUUCCUUCUUUGACACAGAAGUCCACAAUUUAUUCCAUCUUAUUUCAGUGGGAGCUGUUGGUAUUUCUCUGUUUCAGAAAGGCUGGCCUGAUCCAAGCCUAGUGUCGACUCACUUGGUUAAAUGCAGCACAUCUCUGGUUUGCUGGCGUCAGCACUGAGGGAGCUCGGGGUGGCACCUCUGAGUGAAGGAGGAGCAUGGACUUUGAAUCACACAGUAUUUGGCAGCAAAUUAAAGAAGGCCAAAGACUGCCUGUCCCUCCCCCUCAUCCUAUUCUGCAAGAAUGCUUCUCAUACUUCCCAAACUUAGCAGUGCAAAUGUCACUGGGUCUCGCUUGACUGAAAAAAGGAGAAAGGAGGAGUGUGUGCAGGGAGUUCAGGUCCCGCUGUGGCUUCUUGGGAAGUGAGGCAAGAGAAGAUGUGAACCAUCCACCACUCUUGCUGUAUGAAGGCAAGGGGUGCCUUUAUGACCUGCUACUUCUACUUCUCUGUCAGCUAUUCCUGGAAUGAUGGCCUGUGUCACUGGAGACUGCUUCAGAAAGUUUGUGAGACAGACAUUAAGUCUAGUGAAUGGAAGAAAAUAUUUGUCACUGUCUUUAUUUGUCACUGCACCCAUUGUCCUUAUUUCUAGAAAAAAAAGACUUAAGUUGCACAGCCAUCUUCUCUUCCUUCUUGACCUCCACCUCACAUCUUUCUGAAUGAGUAAUUCUGAAUGGAUUGGCAUCAAGAUGGCAUUUUGCCUUGCUUUGGGUAGCAUACAACUGAAAACUAAAAUUUCCUUCUGAGGUAAUCUGGUAGGGAUGGAUUUGGAUGGUGCUAGGGCCUUAAUGCUCCAACUUAAUAACAGGGGAAGAGGAAUCCAACAGCACCAACAUGCUCUUGGGGCAGAAAAGGAACCAGAUUUAACCCUAAGGUCAAGUCAUGGAGGAGAAAUGAUCCCUCGUGGUCAACUCCAACCUGAAGGAGCCCAAGGAGCAUGAUGGCUAUUUGACUGACCCAUCUUCUGGUUCUGUUCAGAAGAUGUUGUUCCUAUUUCAUGGACAUUAAUGACCUUUGUUUCAUUGUCGUGUCUUUAAGGACUCGAGAUGGUGUUUGCAGAGGAGGUACAGACCUGGUCUGCCAUGACCAUGUCAGUUUUAUGUAUUUGCAUAAUGUAAAUGCCAGCCCAGCUGAAUUGUGACAAGUGUAUUUGUUGUAGGCAAAUAAAGGUUUUCAAGAAGCUGUGGAGUUUCUAGUUUGAUAAUCUGAGAAUAGGUACUUUAAAAGGUAUGUUUUGUGGUAUGACAUGCAGGGUUAGUUCUUUCAAGACAAAAGAAGGAUAAAAGGAUGAAAUUAUUACAACCAAAUUUGACAUGUACCCUGACUACCAGUUUUGAGGUUGUCAGCUGAGGGAGGUGUUAUGUCUAAGCAGAGCAUCAGAGUCUCAUACAAGGGCCUUAGUGUGUUCAAUUUUACCUUGAUUUUACAUCAAGUUGCUGUGUUGUGGUUUAACCUGGCAGGCAGCUCAAUUCCACGUAGCCAUUUUCUCACCUCUCCUUCCCAGUGUGAUGGGGGAGAAAAUCAGAAAAAAAACCCAACAACACAAAACAGAGCUUGUUAGUUAAGAUAAAACUAUUAAAUAAAACAGAAAAGGAAAAGGAAAAAAAUAAUAGUAAAUAACCACAAAACAAGCGAUACACAACACAAUUAAUUGCUCACCACCCACUGGCAGAUGCUCAGCCAGUCCCCUGAACAGCUGCUACCCCCCCAGCCAACUCCCCACUGUUCUUCAAGUUUUUUUUUUGCAUGAUGCCAUAUGGUAUGGAAUAUCCCUUUGGCCAGUGUAGCUCAGCUGUCCUGGUUCUGCCCCCACCCAGCUCCUUCUGCCCCCGCAGUCCCCCUCACUGGCAGGACAGUACAAAGAAACUAAUAACUGAAACAUCCCUGGCUCUCUGCAGCACUCUCAGCAACAGAAGAAAUGGCCCAGCAGAAACCAGGACAUGCUGGACUGCAGAAAGAUGCGACUCUUAUUUUGAGGAGCACCACAGCUUGCCACCGGUUAAUCAGAUUAGCACUUGUGGUCCUCUUCCUCAGUACUGGGGCUGUUACUGUUGAUUUCAUCAAAACAUAUUCUUUUCUGUAAAGAAAGGAGUCCUUACAGUUUGGUGGAGGCCACAGAGGUGUCAAAACGUUGAGCCUGAGGUUUUUAACUUAUUGUCACCUUUUUCAGUGAGAGCUCUGCUGAAGCUGAAAAGGUUUCAGCAGUGUGAAAUUGCCGAAGGAAAGGAAACGCUCAACAUUUUCAGCUUCACAGUCACCCAAGCCAUAGCUAGUUCCGGAAGGGUCGAUGAGUGUAUGGACAUGAGUAAGCCUUCUGAGACUAGUGUGGGCUCUAUCAGACCUAGCAGGGCUUUCCCAGGUCAGACCCGGAGCUCUCCACUCGAGAUCUGAAUGUCACUGCAGCUGCACCUACAGGAAGGCUUUGGCUAACGCUGUACAGUAAAAAAUAUCUAUUGUUCCCUUAAUAGACAAAGCUGUAACAGGAAAAAUGUCUUAUGUCAACCUGGCCUUUGAAAUACAAAUGAGUAAGAGCAACCUCACUUUUAAAUGUCAUCAUGUGCUUUGUGUGCUCACUUUGUAAUUUGCUUUUCUGUGGUUACUGCAUUUCAGGGCUUUUGCUUCAAAUGAUGUUUCAACAAAAGGGAAAGGAAAAGAAAAGGCAUUUCUGGUGUUGCAUGGGGAGUUUUGUGGGGUUGCACUGACUCUGCUUCUACUUUUAAGCAUCAAGACAGGCAUUUUUUUCCUAUAAAGUACCUGCUGAUGGUGGAAAUACCGGAAGCCUUGUUUUCUUAUUUCAUGAAGUUUGAGAGAAAGGUGCAUGAAGGAGCACUGUGCAUCUCUGCUUAGCAAGCUUGGCUUUUUCUAUAUGCCCCACGUCUGAUUCAGAGUCCUUUGGGUCCUGGUGGCUUGCAGUGACAUAAUGAAACUUCCUCUUGGUGAGGAUGGACAUCCAGUGCUUGCAGCAUGGCAUGUGCCAUCCAAGUACCCUGCUUGCCAAAUCGCCUUGUUUUGUUCAUUGUCUUCUGGAUGGGGCACCUUUGGGGUUGCUUGAAGUCCUGCAUCUGCUUGGUGGGCAUCUAUUCCUUCAAAGUGAAUCUUGAAGUGUGUGCAGAACUGAUUCUGGAAUUGAGUAGGUCCUUCUUCAGGUGGAACAAACUGUUAUUUGGAGUUACACUAUGAUGGGCUGACUGGUUUGGCUGUUUUUGGUCUGUUUGUGAUUAAAUCUGAUGGUGACAAUAAAAACAGAACAAAAAAUGAUGUGAAAAGUGAAUAAAAGCCUUGGAAGGAUAUUUUGGGUUGCCAGAGGAUCUUAAUCCACAGAAAAUUAAUUGUUUUAAAGUAAUUCAAUGACUAGUUUGAGUCGGCUUUGCAGACUCCUGUCUGAGCAAUGGACAUUUCUGUGGAAUUAAUCAGAAGGAACUGCAGUUUCUUUUACCAUGGGCAAAAAUAGCCCUCAGACUGAGGACAACGUGUAAUAGCAAUGACUGUAGCUGUUGACUUAGCCAGAAAUUCACAGCCAGUAAUAAACACAAAAAUCAUCAGGAAAUAUGGACUGCUGAAUCUGUGCUGAAAUUCGCUCAGCUUUAUUGCGGUGAGUGGGUAAGGGGGUGAGAAAGGAGUUUUAGGGUGAGGUGCUGAGACUGGAGGCGUACUGUGAGGUGGGAUGGAAUUGGUGGGACAAGACAGCAUGGCAUGGGAUGGGAUAGCAGGGGAUGGCAUGGCAUGGCAUGGUAUGGGGUGGCAUUGGAUGCUACAGGGUAGGAUGUCCAUGUACAUGCAGGGGAGUGGCAGAUCCACAGUUCAUCUGUCCUGGGAUUCAGCAGUUUGCAGAGUUGAAGGCCAGUCAGUGGUAAUGCUUGCACUGUUCUAAUUUGAUAAGGUGGAUGAUCUGUUUUGAAAACAAGAAUGGGGGGAGUGGACGUUUUUUUCCCACUUUGUUGAUGCUGAAAUACCAUGUUUCAAUGUCCUGUGUUUUAGGAUAUUUAGAUGUACUUUACAACUUGAUUUUGUAUUUUUCAUGUUUAUCUGCCACUCAAAGUGAGCUGCAUUUGAAGUAGCUGUUGAAACUCCCCAGGCUGCCCUGGAACCGCUACAUCAUCCUGGUAGCAGCCCUGGGCAGGGAGGAGAUGCUCUCCACUUUCAGGUGGCCCAGAGAAGGGCUCGUCCUACUCUGACUUUCAUGGCUCAGCUGGUGCAAAACUAUGUUCAUGCCAUGAGGGAGACUGAAUUUAUCCUGUCAGGUGUCUAGAAAGGGGUGAUAUGAGCAGCAUCGUGUUCUCACUUUGUUUUAGCACUCACAGCCUUGCAGACCUCGUAUUUUGACAUUUUCCGAAUUGGUUGGUAAUAUGCAGUGGGCUUUCAGCUCAUUCUCCAAUUUUUCUGUCUUUCAGUGAAGAUUUUCCCCUUUCUGCUUUAAGCAUGUAACUUAAAACCACAAACAGUCUGGUGAUGUGGAGCAGGCUGCUGGUGCUCAUCCCCGUGGCACUUAAAGCCCAGAGAAUGGUUUAAGUGGGAAGAUUCUACAGAAAGUGGUCAAAUUAUAAAAUGGCUUAGGAUGGAAGGGACAUAAAAAUCAUCACAGAAUCACAGAAUCACAGAAUUGUAGGCGUUGGAAGGGACCUCCAGAGGUCAUUGAGUCCAAUCCCCCUGCCAAAGCAGGUUCUCUACAUCAAGUUCCUGCCAUGGGCAGGGCUGCCCCCCACCAGCUCAGGCUGCCCAGGGCCCCAUCAAUCCUGGCCUUGAAUGCCUCAGGAGAUGGGGCAUCCACAGCUUUUUUUGUGCCAACCAUCCCAGUGCCUCAUCACUCUCUGUGUAAAGAAUUCCUUCCUCACAGUGCCAUUUCUGGGGUGAAGCCCCAGCCCUGCCACUCACCACAGCCUCCUACGAGGCGCCUGCACACAAAAAGCUGGGAUUUAGUGUGGCAAAACAAGGAGUUGUGAAGAGGCUUGGGGACAGCAAGUCUGUGCCAGCUCACAGUUUUGUGUAAGUUAAAUAAAUGUUGUCUUUUGAAGGAAGGUGUUGAAAUGCUCCUGUGGCCUGUUAAAAACAGUGGUGCGUUGGGUGAAGAGCUGCCAUCCCCUUUUUCCAUUUCCUUCUCCAUUUCUCUUUCCAUUUCCUUUUCUGUUUCCAUUAAUAACUAAGUUUUUCUGCUUCAUGCUUCUUUAACUUUUUGUUCACUUACGACUUUCAAGGUGUGCUUUUACUGAGUUUAAAUGCUUUGCCUUUGCUUUGUUGAAAAUCACACCAGUCAGUUGAAUGACUGCUGUUAUCUCAGGUUUCCCCGGGUCUUCCCAUGGGCUGCUUUUGAUUUCAAAGGUACAUUUGUUGUAAAAAGGAAGAUUUCCACAAAAAUGCCCAUUGCACCUUCGUCUUGUUCACACAGGGCUCCUGUUGAGCAGCUGUCCCAUUUUACCGAGCAGCUGGAGUUAGAGGCUGAUUAAAGGAGUGGGAAACCUCUUUUCAUUUAUUUCUGCUGCAUGUAUGUAACUAUGGGUGUGCUCUGCUUUUGGGUGAGCUCUGCUUUUGGGUGAGCUCUGCAGGGAAGACGUGCUUAACGUGACUGAGCCUCUUCUUUUAUAAGUUCAGAAUUGAUCCACAUUUACCACUUGCUUCUUCUUUGAGAGCUUUUGGUGAAGGGGAUUAGUUAAAUCCACAUUUUUCCUUCAGUUAGUUUUGCUCUGGGGUGGAGCUCAUCGAAUAAAGUCCUCCUGGGGAUGAUGUGGGAAUGAGAAGGGUGAUGGGCAUGUCACUUUGUCUCCAUGCACCUCAUGGUUCUCAGCACUGGGUGCUCCUCCUGCUCAGCACUGACCACCUUCGCUCCUUCUUCAUGCUAAGAUAGCUGCAUUUCAGCUGAGGCUGCACAGCACCUCUCCAUACACUUUUUUUUUUAACAUGAAUUUGCAAGGGAAGGUUGGUUGAUGUUGGAUCCAAGGCUCUUCCCUAUUGUCAUGUUGCAGAAGAGCAACAAAGCUGCCAAAACUGCUGGGAGUGAAAAGUGUUAGGUCUCAGUGUCUGCAUUUGGUCCAGAAACAGAAAAUGGGAGCAGACUGAGUCUGAUGGAUCUGGCAGCCCAUGAACUCCCCCCUUUACUUGCUUUCCUUGUAUAAUUACAGUAAUGGAAGUCACUGACACUGCCCAGCUGAAGAGGAGCUGCAUGGUUUUGCUGGGCAUUGCAGGCACUUCCUAAUGCAUCAGCGCCGGUGAGACUCGUGGGUGCAGCCUUCACCCUGUCCCUACCAACAGGCUCCAGUCUGGCUGCUCCCAUCUAAUAGCUGGGAAAUUAGGGCUGGGAGCGAGCAAGAACUGCUUGCAGUGAUGCAGAGGGCUUCAGUGGUGAAGCAGAGGCUGAAACUCAAGCAGGGAGCAUAUGAAUGAGGUGCUGAGCACUUUGGAUUGGCAUGAUGCACUUCCACAGCCUUGCAGGAUACUUGUGUAAUUUUUCAGAUAGAUGAAGCAGUAACUAAGCCAGCUGUGACUCCACCAAAACAAUUUCCAAUGACAGUAUUGAAGGAAAAUAGAAAAAUCAAACAUUGAAGUGUAUGGAGGUCUGCCUCAGGCAGUUUUCAGUGCCUACAGGGCAGGGAGCUGGGGAGAGGAGGAGUUAGAUGGGUUAAAGUCCAGAGAAGGAUAUUGAAAUACAUGAGCCAUCCCUGGGAAAGGUGGAUCUGCAAGCACUGGGUGAAAGAGCAUGAGGAGGGGGGUGGGUUAGGUGGGGGUGUGGAUUCCAGGAAAGAAUUUAUUUCUUAGAUUGCAGAUGCUUGAUGCUAUUAGCAUCCAAAUGGCUCCUGCUGCCCUUUGAAGUCAGCAUCUCAUUGAGAAGUAAAGAGUAAAAGAGGUGUGGGGAAUAAUGAAUUUAUUUCAUUUCUGGCUGGUGAAUAAAUUUCUUUGCAAUGUUGAGUUAGCAACGAGACCGUGCAUGGUUUAUUUUGGGAGCACUGUUUCUUGGAAACAUGAGGCAUUUAUCACUUCUAUGAUUCUAUGACUUUGUACUUUGGCUGUUUUUGUUGUUGUUGUUUUGCUGUUUUGUUAUGGGGUUUUUUUUGUGUGUCUUAAUACUCAAACUUGCAUUAUACAGAAGACAGCAGAAAACCACAAAACUGGAGCCUCAGUAAUUUCUUUACACCCACCAUUUGCCAGUAUUCUGGAUUGGAAACCAACCACAGCAGCUACUGACAGUCUCAUUCCUCCUCCAUGUGAACCUCCUUCCAGGGAACUGUGAUAAUUCCCACCUCCAUUUCCUUUGCAGACUGGGGUUUCAUGACCAUUAAACCUCUUCCUGGAACCAUGGGAUGGCCCCACAGUGCUUUUGAUCCAGGUCAGAUGUGCGCUUCUCUGUGGGAUGAGAGUCCAGCAAGUCCAGCCAUCAGAACCUACCUAGACCCGAUGGAGCUGCAUGCUCUGACUCGUCCCUACCAAAAUGUCCCCACACCCUGCCCCAAGGCUGUGCAUUCCUGGGUGCUGGUUGCCUGUGCCUCAUGAAGUCUUUCCACCAAACUCAUCAGUUUGGCUUCGUUCUGCAUCACCACACUGACACUGUGCAAGCUGCAAGCCACCAAACUGUACCUUUGAGCCAUCUCAUGGGGCACAUGUCUCACAGUGGCUUGGCUGCUGGGCCACGCAGCGUGGGAUGCGCAGCACACUGUGAGGAGAGCACUAAGCUGGGAGAAUAGCGUCCCUAAUUCAGGUUGAUGCUGGAGCUCUUUCUGCAGACCAUUUCAAAGGGCGUUUUGUUUUUUCUCUUCAUUCACUGUUCACAAGUGUUCUUUCACUUGUGCAUUUUGUGCAAUUUUAAAAGCUUCUUGCAUGUAUUCCUUUCCUCUUAUCCUAGAUUAAGUGGCUGUCUUCUCUUCUUUCUUAGCUGGCUUGUUCAUGCAGAGGCAGGGAGUAGCAAAACAUGUUUUUCCUUCUGAAAAGAGAGAAAAUAAAUAUGUUUGAUACCUGAGAAUAGUUUUUACUGUUCAUCUGAGGCAGCUUGAAAUCCUUAGGGAAAAUCAGAAUUGUUCCAUUAGGAUGAGCUGCUUGCAAGCAUCCUGCCAAACUGGAACAGCCCUUCAAGCUGUACUGAAAUGAAUUAAAACUCUCCACAGAUAAGCACAGCAUAGGGUAUAAUUUUAUUUCAACAGAUGGAAAAAGUCCAGUACAUCAUCUCCUUUUAUUUCAGUGUGUGGUUGUCUUGUCACCCAUGUACAUAUAGAAGUAUGCUUUCUUCACAUGUAUUUGCUGAGGCACUCAAGCUAAAUGUGAUUGAGCCUGGUGGUUGCUGGGAUGGUUCAUCAUGCAUGUCCAGGUGCCAUCUGUACACAGGGAAGCUGGCGGUGCAGUAAAUGGCUGUUUUCCUUCCUAUAAGAAAUGCAUGUUGGCAUUGCUUUUUGAUGAUCGCUUAGGAUCUUAAAGUUUUUGUGCUUUCACAUUUAUUUUUGUGAUGGCUAAAUUUCAGUUCACUUAAUUCCCUGUGAACAAUUCUUCUUUUGUUAAAUAAACUAUUCCUUGCAAACCAUA